rnacentral:misc_RNA from 1 species
UCCGGUUUAACACCGGCAGUCCCAUAUGAGUGCCCGGCAUUACCCGAUGGCAACAUAUGGCGGGGGUUGCGCUCGUUGCGGGACUUAACCCAACACCUCACGGCACGAGCUGACGACAGCCAUGCAACACCUGUCCCCGUUCCCGACUUUACGGGUCGGCCACCCUUUCAGGCGCCUACUUCGGGGAUGUCAAGCCUGGGUAAGGUUCUUCGCUUUGCAUCGAAUUAAGCCACGCGCUCCGCCGCUUGUGCGGGCCCCCGUCAAUUCCUUUGAGUUUCAGCCUUGCGGCCGUACUCCCCAGGCGGGGCACUUAAUGCGUUAGCUUCGACACCGAAAGGGUCGAUCCCCCCGGCAUCUAGUGCCCAUCGUUUACGGCGUGGACUAC